AGCCACGAGGUGGGAACAGAGCGAACUAUUCUUUCGCCUUUUACUAAAGAAUACAGUGUGCUCUCCUCUAUAUGUGGCAUACGAUUAUUUUUGGAGGUUGACUUUCCUAUGGAAGGU